rnacentral:rRNA from 1 species
UUAGAGGCAUGCCUGCCCAGUGACACCAGUUUAACGGCCGCGGUAUUCUGACCGUGCAAAGGUAGCAUAAUCACUUGUUCUCCAAAUAAGGACUUGUAUGAAUGGCCACACGAGGGUUUUACUGUCUCUUACUUCCAAUCAGUGAAAUUAACCUUCCCGUGAAGAGGCGGGAAUAAAAAAAUAAGACGAGAAGACCCUAUGGAGCUUUAAUUAACUAUUCCAAAAGUUAAACAACUCAACCACAAAGGGAUAAAACAUAACUUAACAUGGACUAGCAAUUUCGGUUGGGGUGACCUCGGAGUACAAAAAACCCUCCGAGUGAUUUUAAUCUAGACAAACCAGUCAAAAUAAUCAUAACAUCACUUAUUGAUCCAAAAUUUUGAUCAACGGAACAAGUUACCCUAGGGAUAACAGCGCAAUCCUGUUCUAGAGUUCCUAUCGACAAUAGGGUUUACGACCUCGAUGUUGGAUCAGGACACCCAAAUGGUGCAACCGCUAUUAAA